GCGCCGGUGGUGUAAGGCGAACAUCUCUGCCCGGAAAGCAGAAGAUGCGGGUUCAAGUCCCGCCUGACGCA
rnacentral:tRNA from 1 species